rnacentral:rRNA from 1 species
GUUGAACGCUGGCGGCAUGCUUUACACAUGCAAGUCGGACGGCAGCACAGAGAUGCUUGCUUCUUGUCUGGCGAGUGGCGAACGGGUGAGUAAUAUAUCUGAACGUCCCGAUUUAUGGGGGAUACCUAAUCGAAAGUUUACCUACUACAUCAUAUUCUCUGAGGAGGAGAGCAGGGGACAUUCGGUCCUUGCGUUGUUCGCGCGUCCCAUAUCUGAUUCGCUAGUUGGUGGGGUAAACGUCUACCACGUCGACGGUCAGUAGCGCGUCUGAGAGGAUGAUCCCCCACACUGGGAGUGAGUCAGCGUCCAGACUCCUACGGGAGGCAGCAGUGGCGAAUUUGCGGCAGCGGGCGGAAGAAUUAUCCAGCGGUGCCGCGUGUCUGAAGAAGGGCCUCGGGUUGUAAAGGCCUUUUGUCAGGGAAGAAAAGCCUUUUGCUAAUACAGACAGUUGAUGACGGUACCGGAAAAAUAAGCACCGGCUAACUACGUG